rnacentral:rRNA from 1 species
AACGCUGGCGGCGUGCUUAACACAUGCAAGUCGAACGGUGACGGAGAGCUUGCUCUCCUGAUCAGUGGCGAACGGGUGAGUAACACGUGGGCAACCUGCCCCAGACUUCGGGAUAACGCUUCGAAAGAGGUGCUAAUACCGAAUACGAACCUCCCUGGCAUCUGGGAGGUUGGAAAGUUUUUCGGUCUGGGAUGGGCCCGCGGCCUAUCAGCUUGUUGGUGAGGUAACGGCUCACCAAUGCGACGACGGGUAGCCGGCCUGAGAGGGCGACCGGCCACACUGGGACUGAGACACGGCCCAGACUCCUACGGGAGGCAGCAGUGGGGAAUAUUGCGCAAUGGGCGAAAGCCUGACGCAGCAACGCCGCGUGAGGGAUGACGGCCUUCGGGUUGUAAACCUCUUUCAGCAGGGAAGAAGCGAAAGUGACGGUACCUGCAGAAGAAGCACCGGCUAACUACGUG